GAACUUAAGCAUAUCAAUAAGCGGAGGAAAAGAAACUAACAAGGAUUCCCCUAGUAACUGCGAGUGAAGCGGGAAAAGCUCAAAUUUAAAAUCUGGCGUGCCUCUGGUCGUCCGAGUUGUAGUUUAGAGAAGCGUUUUCUGUGUUGGACCGUGUAUAAGUCUCUUGGAACAGGGCGUCAUAGAGGGUGAGAAUCCCGUCUUUGACACGGACUACCAAUGCUUUGUGAUACGCUCUCAAAGAGUCGAGUUGUUUGGGAAUGCAGCUCAAAAUGGGUGGUAAAUUCCAUCUAAAGCUAAAUAUAGGCGAGAGACCGAUAGCGAACAAGUACCGUGAGGGAAAGAUGAAAAGCACUUUGGAAAGAGAGUUAAACAGUACGUGAAAUUGCUGAAGGGGAAACGCUUGAAGUCAGUCACGUCUGCCAGGACUCAGCCUUGCUUCUGCUUGGUGUACUUUCUGGUUGGAUGGGCCAACAUCGAUUUCGACCGUUGGAGAAAGGCUUUGGGAAUGUGGCACCUUCGGGUGUGUUAUAGCCCUUUGUCGUAUACAAUGGUUGGGAUCGAGGACUGCAGCAUGCCUUCAUGGCCGGGGUUCGCCCACGUACAUGCUUAGGAUGUUGGCAUAAUGGCUUUAAGCGACCCGUCUUGAAACACGGACCAAGGAGUCUAACAUGCCUGCGAGUGUUUGGGUGGAAAACCCAUGCGCGUAAUGAAAGUGAUAGCUGAGAUCCUCUCAUCAGGAGCAUCAGCGCCUGGACUUGAUCUACGGAGACGGUUCUACGGUAGAGCAUGUAUGUUGGGACCCGAAA
rnacentral:rRNA from 1 species